UCCAAGAUGACAUCAUAAGAGGGCAGAGCUAGAUAGGAUGCUGAAAGCUGAUUAGCUGAGCCUGAGAGAGAACCAGUAGGUAUAUAAGGCUGAUAACCAGCAGGCUGAACUUGUAGUGCAUUUGGGGUUCGGUGGGGAACAGAAGCUGCAAGACACCUGUGAAGAAAAGAAGCUAUCUGGAAAACAUCUACCUGUAAGAAGCAGCAGCAGUAGCGGCAGCAGCAAUCAAACACUGAGGUUGCUCUGGCAACGGCUGCCAUAGCAACUCAGCAGCUGCAGUGUGACCAGGAAGACAGCAGUUUUUGGACAACAUCAGCUUCCCUAGCUGCUACUGAAGGGCAACCGCUAUCACCUCAGCUGAUCUUACUGAUACCUCCGGCAGUUUUUCUGACAGGCAGCAACAUCUCUGGUCACACAGCUAAACUAAACAGGGCAGAAGGACGCUUAGAUGAGUCAGAGGGAUUCUGGGCGUGAGUGUGGACCAGGAGCUUCUGACUGUCUUUCAAAAGCCAGGAAAAGCACAGAUCAGGUUCAACUGCCCCAGGUUGUUUAAGAAGCACAGUGAUCAGUAGGAGCAAUUGCGAAGGAGGGGGCUUUUUGGUACUACAGUGUCCAUAGCAAUGGAGAGAAUGUGGCCAUAAUAUACAACUAGUUCCUUAAGAUUCCUGUUGGAUAAUGGUUUGUCUUCAGUAUGCUAUGCUGUCAGUUACCGGCAGGAGUAGUAGAUACAUCAUCCAAAGAAGCAAUGCCAAAUUGAUUUAAAUAAUUACAAGAAGAAAUCAAAUCAGAGCUAUGGUGCCUGGACAGUCACAUUUUCUCCUGGGAUGAUCAGUAUUUGUAAUGAACACAUACAGCAUCGUCUUUACUAAAAAUAAUCCUAAAUAGUUGAUGCUCAGGAGAUUUUAAUGGGGAGAAUUCAUCAGUGAAUAAUACACUCAGCAUAUAGAGUCUGUUCUUGUUUCUUGGAUGAUGAAGACAGUUUAGAUGAGCUCAGACCCACUAUUAGUCUUUGCUGUGCAAAUGUCUGAGCAAACCAGCCUAAUAUGUGUGGUAACUAAAGAAAAAAGAAUGAUUAAUCGAAAAUAAUUCAGUAGAUUGAGGCAAAACUUAACCUACUGGGAAGGGAAGAGGAAAGAGGAUAUAUUCUAGCAUGCACAUAAAGUGCUUGGGAUGAAGAAUGAUAAUGUCACAGUUAUACCACACAAAGAAAAUCAACAUUAAAACAAGGAAAAUCGAGGAAGCUGAUCCAGAUUAUUUUUGAGGAAACUGGAAAAUAAAUUAAGUGCUUUUACGUAGAUGCAAAGAGAGCGAGAAGCACAAUGGUGGAAUUGAACACAUGCAUGACAAAUGAAAAUUAUGACAUAAUCACUAUUACAGAGGCCUAGCUUAUCCCAGAGGAAGAGACUGGGUAAUAAGUUACAGGAUGUUCCAAAAGAAAAUGUUCUACAGAGAAAAGCAGAGGAGUGGAGUGUUUCUUUAAACAGAGGGGAAAAAAAUUAAAAUCUAAAAGAUUAGUUUAGGCGAAUAACUAGAAUGGAGGAGGAAACGACAACUAAUAAAGACUUGUUAUUGCCAAAUUGGCACAGAAGACAAAAAUGAUCUGGGGCCAGGUCCUCAACUGGUGUCAACUGAUGUAGCUGUAUUGACCUCAAUGAAGCCAUGUUGAUCUAUACCAGCUAAGGAUCUGGCUUUAGCUAAUGUGUGAUAAAUGAAUGAGCUGUCAAGAUAAAAAGAGAGGAUUAGGGAUUAUGUCUGUAUCUGUAAAUUAGAAACCACUGAGAAACUGAAAUGAGGAAUGUAAUACAUGAUUCCUGCUAGGGGUGGGUGUACUCAUAGUACCUGAUCUCAGACUCAAUCAGGCUUUGUAGACUUAAAAGCUAGAUUCAAACUAAAUGGUAUUGGAUUUGCAUUUCUCUUAUGAGAGGUUGUGAAAAGAGGAGCGAGGACAGGGCAAAGAGAAAAAUCCAGUGAAAAUGGGGUAAUAACUGGAGAAGAAAAAGUGAGACAUUAAAAGAUAUGUUGGACAGAACUGUAGAAAAUGCACUUCAGGGAACAAUUUUGCACUAAAUGAUCUAAUAAGUCGUUCCAUCCCUAAUGUCUGUUAGGCUUUGAUCCAGUGUUCUGGUUUGGAGCCAUCUCUAAAUAGAUGGUUCACUAUAGUAGUUUUCUGAACAACCACAAAAAAUGUGUCACAUUUAUAAAUCUCCACAAGCUGCACACAUCCCUGAUUACUAUUACCUACCCAUAUACCCAACCACUGCCAAAAUAUCUGUAAAGUAAUUUUAGUGUUGAGCAUUUUUCAGGCGGUUCUUGCAACUCCAUAGUGAUAAAGACUAAAUGUGAUACUGUGUCCUGUGAUAUUAUUUUGGUUAGAAAAACACACAAUGAUCAUAUCUGUGUAACGCUGUGUAAUUUGAAUAUUUGUAGAUAUACACAGUGCUUCAUUUCCCUCAUGUUGGAAUCUCACAUUUGGAAAUAUAAUGAAUUUCAGAUGCUGCUUAAAGUUACACAUUUGUCCUACUGUUCAGGUCAAUUCCUGCUAUCACGAUAGGUUUCAUUG